rnacentral:rRNA from 1 species
CCUACGGGUGGCAGCAGUGGGGAAUAUUGCGCAAUGGGCGAAAGCCUGACGCAGCGACGCCGCGUGAGGGAUGAAGGUCUUCGUAUCGUACACCUCUGUCAGCAGGGAAGAACGGUCACUGUGCUAAUCAGCAGUGAAUUAACGGUACCUACAAAGGAAGCACCGGCUCACUCCGUGUCAGCAGCCGCGGUGAUACGGAGGGUGCGAGCGUUACUCGGAAUUACUGGGCAUAAAGCGGUAUUAGGCGGUAUGACAAGUCAAGGGUGAAGUCCCCGCGGACAACGGUGAAACUGCCGUUGAAACUGGCAAAUUGGAUGGUGUGAGGGGAUAGGGGAAUUCCAGG